UCUCAUCGACCCAAUGACUUCUUU
rnacentral:rRNA from 1 species